rnacentral:rRNA from 1 species
UACGAAAGGAGCAAGUGUUAUUCAGAUUAACUGGGCGUAAAGGGCACGUAGGUGGUUUGUUUAUGUGUAUUAUUAAAUUAUAAAGCAUAACUUUAUAAUGUAGUAUAAACAGCAAAACUAGAGUUAGGUAGAGAGUAGUAGAAUUUCAGGUGUAGCGGUGAAAUGCGUAGAUAUCUGAAGGAACAUCAGUGGCGAAAGCGACUUCCUGGACCAAUACUGACGCUCAUGUGCGAAAGCGUGGGGAGCAAACAGG